rnacentral:tRNA from 3 species
UUUAAUGUGGUGUUUACAAGCAUAGCACAUUUUGGUUGUGUAGGAAGUUAGUUACUCAUUAUUU